rnacentral:rRNA from 1 species
CCUACGGGGGGCAGCAGUGAGGAAUAUUGGUCAAUGGGCUUACGCCUGAACCAGCCAAGUCGCGUGAGGGAAGACUGCCCUAUGGGUUGUAAACCUCUUUUGUCAGGGAGCAACGCCGGCUACGUGUAGCCGGACUGAGAGUACCUGAAGAAAAAGCAUCGGCUAACUCCGUGCCAGCAGCCGCGGUAAUACGGAGGAUGCGAGCGUUAUCCGGAUUUAUUGGGUUUAAAGGGUGCGUAGGCGGAAUGCAAAGGUAGCGGUAAAAGCUCGGGGCUCAACCUCGCUCCGCAGUUGAAACUGGCGUUCUUGAGUGGGCGAGAGGUAGGCGGAAUGCGUGGUGUAGCGGUGAAAUGCAUAGAUAUCACGCAGAACUCCGAUUGCGAAGGCAGCAUACCGGCGCCCAACUGACGCUGAGGCACGAAAGCGUGGGUAUCGAACAGGAUUAGAUACCCCGGUAGUC